rnacentral:rRNA from 1 species
UGGGGGAUAUUGCACAAUGGGCGAAAGCCUGAUGCAGCAACGCCGCGUGAGGGAAGACGGUCUUCGGAUUGUAAACCUUUAGCUUUGGGGAAGAAACAAAUGACGGUACCCAAAGGGGCAGCCACGGCUAACUAAGUGCCAGCAGCCGCGGUAAUACGUAGGGUGCAAGCGGUGUCCGGAAUUACUGGGUGUAAAGGGAGCGCAGGCGGGGAGACAAGUCAGCUGUGAAAACUAUGGGCUUAACCCAUAGAUUGCAGGUGAAACUGUUUUUCUUGAGUGGAGUAGAGGUAGGCGGAAUUCCGAGUGUAGCGGUGAAAUGCGUAGAUAUUCGGAGGAACACCAGUGGCGAAGGCGGCCUACUGGGCUCUAACUGACGCUGAGGCUCGAAAGUGUGGGGAGCAAACA